rnacentral:misc_RNA from 1 species
GAUGAAGAACGCAGCGAAAUGCGAUAAGUAAUGUGAAUUGCAGAAUUCAGUGAAUCAUCGAAUCUUUGAACGCACCUUGCACCCUUUGGCAUUCCGAAGGGUAUGCUCGUUUGAGUGUCAUUGUACUCUCACACUUCCGAUCUUUGGAUUGGGAGCGGUGGACUUGGGUGUUGCUGCUUACUGUGGCUCACCUCAAAUAAGUUAGUGCAACUCUUGGUUGGACAUAGUACGGCGUGAUAAGUGUCUUCGCCGGCGCCUCUGUAAGGAGGGUGGCCGAUCGGGAGCUCUGUGCUUCAAACCGUCUUCGGACAAUCUUUGACAACUUGACCUCAAAUCGAGUAGGACUACCCGCUGAACUUAAGCAUAUCAAUAAGCGGAGGA